UGCCCAGCGACUCCUAUCCCUACCUCCACGCAGUACCGGCCGGAAACUAUGAGCUACCUUAGGGAAGAUCGGGUAACCAACCCCGGUGGGAACUUUGGUCGUAGGCUGACAGGGAAGG
rnacentral:ribozyme from 1 species